rnacentral:rRNA from 1 species
ACGAACGCUGGCGGCGUGCUUAACACAUGCAAGUCGAACGAUGAAGCCUUUCGGGGUGGAUUAGUGGCGAACGGGUGAGUAACACGUGGGCAAUCUGCCCUUCACUCUGGGACAAGCCCUGGAAACGGGGUCUAAUACCGGAUAACACUCUGUCCCGCAUGGGACGGGGUUAAAAGCUCCGGCGGUGAAGGAUGAGCCCGCGGCCUAUCAGCUUGUUGGUGGGGUAAUGGCCUACCAAGGCGACGACGGGUAGCCGGCCUGAGAGGGCGACCGGCCACACUGGGACUGAGACACGGCCCAGACUCCUACGGGAGGCAGCAGUGGGGAAUAUUGCACAAUGGGCGAAAGCCUGAUGCAGCGACGCCGCGUGAGGGAUGACGGCCUUCGGGUUGUAAACCUCUUUCAGCAGGGAAGAAGCGAAAGUGACGGUACCUGCAGAAGAAGCGCCGGCUAACUACGUGCCAGCAGCCGCGGUAAUACGUAGGGCGCAAGCGUUGUCCGGAAUUAUUGGGCGUAAAGAGCUCGUAGGCGGCUUGUCACGUCGGAUGUGAAAGCCCGGGGCUUAACCCCGGGUCUGCAUUCGAUACGGGCUAGCUAGAGUGUGGUAGGGGAGAUCGGAAUUCCUGGUGUAGCGGUGAAAUGCGCAGAUAUCAGGAGGAACACCGGUGGCGAAGGCGGAUCUCUGGGCCAUUACUGACGCUGAGGAGCGAAAGCGUGGGGAGCGAACAGGAUUAGAUACCCUGGUAGUCCACGCCGUAAACGUUGGGAACUAGGUG